rnacentral:tRNA from 2 species
GGGUCAGUAGCUCAGUUGGUAGAGUGCGCGAUUGAAAAUUGCGUGGUCGCGGGUUCAAAUCCCGCCUGGCCCA